GGACCAGAAGGAUGGGGUGGACUGUGAGAGUCUCCAGGUGAGGAGGCCUGGGAGAGACCUGUUCAACAGGGAGCUUCAGCCUUGAGUCCAAGACCGUUCCUCAUUAUACAGAGAACAGUUCAAACAAUCAAUAUGAAACCAAGAGUAAAUGAAAAGUUACUUCAUCAAAUGCUGUAUCUCCCUCAGUUUCCUGGCUUCCAAAAAAACCUUCUCAAGAAGAGCUCCACCUUACCUACUACAGACUCCCUUCGAGAGAAUUGAGUCAUUAACCACUGGAUCAGCUUGCCAAGGU